rnacentral:rRNA from 1 species
GACGAACGCUGGCGGCGUGCCUAAUACAUGCAAGUCGAACGAGAGCGACCGGUGCUUGCACUGGUCAAUCUAGUGGCGAACGGGUGAGUAACACGUGAGUAACCUGCCCCCUUCUUUGGGAUAACGCCCGGAAACGGGUGCUAAUACUGGAUAUUCACUGGUCUUCGCAUGGGGGUUGGUGGAAAGGGUUUUUCUGGUGGGGGAUGGGCUCGCGGCCUAUCAGCUUGUUGGUGGGGUGAUGGCCUACCAAGGCUUUGACGGGUAGCCGGCCUGAGAGGGUGACCGGUCACAUUGGGACUGAGAUACGGCCCAGACUCCUACGGGAGGCAGCAGUGGGGAAUAUUGCACAAUGGGCGCAAGCCUGAUGCAGCGACGCCGCGUGAGGGAUGGAGGCCUUCGGGUUGUGAACCUCUUUCGCUCAUGGUCAAGCCGCAACAAUGGUUGUGGUGAGGGUAGUGGGUAAAGAAGCGCCGGCUAACUACGUG